GAUGAAGAACGUAGCGAAAUGCGAUAAGUAAUGUGAAUUGCAGAAUUCAGUGAAUCAUCGAAUCUUUGAACGCACAUUGCGCCCGCUAGUAUUCUGGCGGGCAUGCCUGUUCGAGCGUCAUUUCAACCAUCAAGCCCCAGGCUUGUGUUGGGGUCCUGCGGUCUCUGCAGCCCCCUAAAAGCAGUGGCGGUGCCGCCUGGCCCUGAGCGUAGUACAUCUCUCGCUCCAGUGCCCGGUGGUAGCCUGCCAGAACCCCAACUCUCGUGGUUGACCUCGGAUCAGGUAGGGAUACCCGCUGAACUUAAGCAUAUCAAUAAGCGGAGGA
rnacentral:misc_RNA from 1 species